rnacentral:rRNA from 1 species
AUUGAACGCUGGCGGCAGGCCUAACACAUGCAAGUCGAACGGCAGCGCGGGCCUUGGCCUGGGGGUGAGUGGCGAACGGGUGAGUAAUGCCUCGGAACGUGCCCAGUAGUGGGGGAUAGCGCGGCGAAAGCGGGAUUAAUACCGCAUACGACCUGAGGGUGAAAGCGGGGGACCGAAAGGCCUCGCGCUAUUGGAGCGGCCGAGGUCGGAUUAGCUAGUUGGUGUGGUAAAGGCUUACCAAGGCGACGAUCCGUAGCUGGUCUGAGAGGACGACCAGCCACACUGGGACUGAGACACGGCCCAGACUCCUACGGGAGGCAGCAGUGGGGAAUUUUGGACAAUGGGGGCAACCCUGAUCCAGCCAUGCCGCGUGCGGGAAGAAGGCCUUCUGAUUGUAAACCGCUUUAGUUCGGGAGGAAGUCCACUGGGCUAAUACCCCGGGGUGAUGACGGUACCAGAAGAAUAAGCACCGGCUAACUACGUG